AAAUUGAAGAGUUUGAUCAUGGCUCAGAUUGAACGCUGGCGGCAGGCCUAACACAUGCAAGUCGAACGGUAACAGGAAGCAGCUUGCUGCUUUGCUGACGAGUGGCGGACGGGUGAGUAAUGUCUGGGAAACUGCCUGAUGGAGGGGGAUAACUACUGGAAACGGUGGCUAAUACCGCAUAACGUCGCAAGACCAAAGAGGGGGACCUUCGGGCCUCUUGCCAUCAGAUGUGCCCAGAUGGGAUUAGCUUGUUGGUGAGGUAACGGCUCACCAAGGCGACGAUCCCUAGCUGGUCUGAGAGGAUGACCAGCCACACUGGAACUGAGACACGGUCCAGACUCCUACGGGAGGCAGCAGUGGGGAAUAUUGCACAAUGGGCGCAAGCCUGAUGCAGCCAUGCCGCGUGUAUGAAGAAGGCCUUCGGGUUGUAAAGUACUUUCAGCGGGGAGGAAGGUGUUGUGGUUAAUAACCGCAGCAAUUGACGUUACCCGCAGAAGAAGCACCGGCUAACUCCGUGCCAGCAGCCGCGGUAAUACGGAGGGUGCAAGCGUUAAUCGGAAUUACUGGGCGUAAAGCGCACGCAGGCGGUCUGUCAAGUCGGAUGUGAAAUCCCCGGGCUCAACCUGGGAACUGCAUUCGAAACUGGCAGGCUUGAGUCUUGUAGAGGGGGGUAGAAUUCCAGGUGUAGCGGUGAAAUGCGUAGAGAUCUGGAGGAAUACCGGUGGCGAAGGCGGCCCCCUGGACAAAGACUGACGCUCAGGUGCGAAAGCGUGGGGAGCAAACAGGAUUAGAUACCCUGGUAGUCCACGCCGUAAACGAUGUCUACUUGGAGGUUGUGCCCUUGAGGCGUGGCUUCCGGAGCUAACGCGUUAAGUAGACCGCCUGGGGAGUACGGCCGCAAGGUUAAAACUCAAAUGAAUUGACGGGGGCCCGCACAAGCGGUGGAGCAUGUGGUUUAAUUCGAUGCAACGCGAAGAACCUUACCUGGUCUUGACAUCCACAGAACUUUCCAGAGAUGGAUUGGUGCCUUCGGGAACUGUGAGACAGGUGCUGCAUGGCUGUCGUCAGCUCGUGUUGUGAAAUGUUGGGUUAAGUCCCGCAACGAGCGCAACCCUUAUCCUUUGUUGCCAGCGGUUAGGCCGGGAACUCAAAGGAGACUGCCAGUGAUAAACUGGAGGAAGGUGGGGAUGACGUCAAGUCAUCAUGGCCCUUACGACCAGGGCUACACACGUGCUACAAUGGCGCAUACAAAGAGAAGCGACCUCGCGAGAGCAAGCGGACCUCAUAAAGUGCGUCGUAGUCCGGAUUGGAGUCUGCAACUCGACUCCAUGAAGUCGGAAUCGCUAGUAAUCGUGGAUCAGAAUGCCACGGUGAAUACGUUCCCGGGCCUUGUACACACCGCCCGUCACACCAUGGGAGUGGGUUGCAAAAGAAGUAGGUAGCUUAACCUUCGGGAGGGCGCUUACCACUUUGUGAUUCAUGACUGGGGUGAAGUCGUAACAAGGUAACCGUAGGGGAACCUGCGGUUGGAUCACCUCCUUACCUGAAAGAA
rnacentral:rRNA from 3 species